rnacentral:rRNA from 1 species
CUACGGGUUGCUGCAGUGGGGAAUAUUGCACAAUGGGCGAAAGUCUGAUGCAGCAACGCCGCGUGGAGGAUGACACAUUUCGGUGCGUAAACUCCUUUUAUAUAAGAAGAUAAUGACGGUAUUAUAUGAAUAAGCACCGGCUAACUCCGUGCCAGCAGCCGCGGUAAUACGGGGGGUGCAAGCGUUACUCGGAAUCACUGGGCGUAAAGCGCAUGUAGGCGGACUUGUAAGUUGGAAGUGAAAUCCUAUGGCUCAACCAUAGAACUGCUUCCAAAACUGCUUGUCUAGAAUAUGGGAGAGGUAGAUGGAAUUUCUGGUGUAGGGGUAAAAUCCGUAGAGAUCAGAAGGAAUACCGAUUGCGAAGGCGAUCUACUGGAACAUUAUUGACGCUCAGAUGCGAAAGCGUGGGGAGCAAACAGGAUUAGAUACCCUUGUAGUC